UAGAGUCUUGAUCCUGGCUCAGGAAAGUCGUAACAAGGUAACCGUAAGUCGUAACAAGGUAACCGCAGAGUUUGAUCAUGGCUCAGGUGAAGUCGUAACAAGGUAACCGUAAGUCGUAACAAGGUAGCCGUAAGUCGUAACGGGGUAACCGUAGAGUUUGAUCCUGGCUCAGCCUUUGACUUAAAAAAAUGGAGAAGUCGUAACAAGGUAACCGUAAGUCGUAACAAGGUAGCCGUAGAGUUUGAUCAUGGCUCAGCCUUUGACUUAAAAAAUAGUGAAGUCGUAAAAGGUGCCGUAA
rnacentral:rRNA from 1 species